rnacentral:rRNA from 1 species
GACGAACGCUGGCGGCGUGCUUAACACAUGCAAGUCGAACGGAAAGGCCCUGCUUUUGUGGGGUGCUCGAUUGGCGAACGGGUGAGUAACACGUGAUUAACCUGCCCUUUACUUUGUGAUAACUUCAGGAAACUGGGGCUAAUACCGGAUAGGAGCUCCUGCUGCAUGGUGGGGGUUGGAAAGUUUCGUCGGUUGGGGAUGGACUCGCGGCUUAUCAGCUUGUUGGUGGGGUAGUUGCUUACCAAGGCUUUGACGGGUAGCCGGCCUGAGAGGGUGACCGGCGACAUUGGGACUGAGAUAAGGCGCAGACUCCUACGGGAGGCAGCAGUGGGGAAUAUUGCACAAUGGGCGGAAGCCUGAUGCAGCAACGCCGCGUGCGGGAUGACGGCCUUCGGGUUGUAAACCGCUUUCGCCUGUGACGAAGCGUGAGUGACGGUAAUGGGUAAAGAAGCACCGGCUAACUACGUG